CCUCUGGAUGACGAAGAGAUGGUCUCGUACAUCCUUACUGGACUGGAUGUUGAUUUCAAUCCGAUCGUGUCAGCCAUUGUAGCACGGGUUGAACCUGUGUCAGUCAGCGAGCUGUACGCUCAGUUGUUAAGCUUCGAAA